CGGGGGGCAGCAGUGGGGAAUAUUGGACAAUGGGCGAAAGCCUGAUCCAGCAAUGCCGCGUGAGUGAAGAAGGCCUUCGGGUUGUAAAGCUCUUUUACCCGGGAAGAUAAUGACUGUACCGGGAGAAUAAGCCCCGGCUAACUCCGUGCCAGCAGCCGCGGUAAUACGGAGGGGGCUAGCGUUGUUCGGAAUUACUGGGCGUAAAGCGUACGUAGGCGGCUUUGUAAGUCAGAGGUGAAAGCCCACGACUCAAUCGUGGAACUGCCUUUGAGACUGCUUCGCUUGAAGAUGGGAGAGGUUAGUGGAAUUCCGAGUGUAGAGGUGAAAUUCGUAGAUAUUCGGAAGAACACCAGUGGCGAAGGCGGCUAACUGGACCAUUCUUGACGCUGAGGUACGAAAGCGUGGGGAGCAAACAGGAUUAGAUACCCGAGU
rnacentral:rRNA from 1 species